rfam:Daphnia pulex DAPPTscaffold_150_Cont5960, whole genome shotgun sequence.
CAUAUGGUCUAGUGGCUAGGAUACCUGGCUUACACCCAGGAGGCUUGNGUUCGAUUCCCGGUAUG